CCGGCGAUUUCCGAAUGGGGAAACCCAGUGUGUUUCGACACACUAUCAUUAACUGAAUCCAUAGGUUAAUGAGGCGAACCGGGGGAACUGAAACAUCUAAGUACCCCGAGGAAAAGAAAUCAACCGAGAUUCCCCCAGUAGCGGCGAGCGAACGGGGAGGAGCCCAGAGCCUGAAUCAGUGUGUGUGUUAGUGGAAGCGUCUGGAAAGGCGCGCGAUACAGGGUGACAGCCCCGUACACAAAAAUGCACAUAUUGUGAGCUCGAUGAGUAGGGCGGGACACGUGGUAUCCUGUCUGAAUAUGGGGGGACCAUCCUCCAAGGCUAAAUACUCCUGACUGACCGAUAGUGAACCAGUACCGUGAGGGAAAGGCGAAAAGAACCCCGGCGAGGGGAGUGAAAAAGAACCUGAAACCGUGUACGUACAAGCAGUGGGAGCCUCUUAAUGGGGUGACUGCGUACCUUUUGUAUAAUGGGUCAGCGACUUAUAUUCUGUAGCAAGGUUAACCGAAUAGGGGAGCCGAAGGGAAACCGAGUCUUAACUGGGCGUUAAGUUGCAGGGUAUAGACCCGAAACCCGGUGAUCUAGCCAUGGGCAGGUUGAAGGUUGGGUAACACUAACUGGAGGACCGAACCGACUAAUGUUGAAAAAUUAGCGGAUGACUUGUGGCUGGGGGUGAAAGGCCAAUCAAACCGGGAGAUAGCUGGUUCUCCCCGAAAGCUAUUUAGGUAGCGCCUCGUGAAUUCAUCUCCGGGGGUAGAGCACUGUUUCGGCAAGGGGGUCAUCCCGACUUACCAACCCGAUGCAAACUGCGAAUACCGGAGAAUGUUAUCACGGGAGACACACGGCGGGUGCUAACGUCCGUCGUGAAGAGGGAAACAACCCAGACCGCCAGCUAAGGUCCCAAAGUCAUGGUUAAGUGGGAAACGAUGUGGGAAGGCCCAGACAGCCAGGAUGUUGGCUUAGAAGCAGCCAUCAUUUAAAGAAAGCGUAAUAGCUCACUGGUCGAGUCGGCCUGCGCGGAAGAUGUAACGGGGCUAAACCAUGCACCGAAGCUGCGGCAGCGACACUAUGUGUUGUUGGGUAGGGGAGC
rnacentral:rRNA from 1 species